UACGAAGGGUGCAAGCGUUACUCGGAAUUACUGGGCGUAAAGCGUGCGUAGGUGGUUUGUUAAGUCUGUUGUGAAAGCCCCGGGCUCAACCUGGGAAUGGCAAUGGAUACUGGCAAGCUAGAGUGCGGUAGAGGGUAGUGGAAUUCCCGGUGUAGCGGUGAAAUGCGUAGAUAUCGGAAGGAACACCAGUGGCGAAAGCGGCUUCCUGGUCCAGCACCGACGUUCAGGCACGAAAGCGUGGGGAGCAAACAGG
rnacentral:rRNA from 1 species